AGCAGCCGCGGUAAUUCCAGCUCCAAUAGCGUAUAUUAAAGUUGUUGCAGUUAAAAAGCUCGUAGUUGAAUUUUGGGUCUGGGCGGGCGGUCCACCUUCCGGUGAGCACUGUUCCGACGCCGGGCCUAUCCUUCUGGUGAGUCGGCAUGCCCUUCGCUGGGUGUGUCGGGGAACCAGGACCAUUACCUUGAAAAAUUAGAGUGUUCAAAGCAGGCAUUUGCUCGAAUACAUUAGCAUGGAAUAAUGAAAUAGGACGCGUGGUACUAUUUUGUUGGUUUCUAGGACCGCCGUAAUGAUUAAUAGGGAUAGUUGGGGGCAUUAGUAUUCAAUUGUCAGAGGUGAAAUUCUUGGAUUUAUUGAAGACUAACUUCUGCGAAAGCAUUUGCCAAGGAUGUUUUCAUUAAUCAAGAACGAAAGUUAGGGGAUCGAAGACGAUCAGAUACCGUCGUAGUCUUAACCAUAAACUAUGCCGACUAGGAAUCGGGCGAUGUUAUUUUAACGACUCGCCCGGCGCCUUAUG
rnacentral:rRNA from 1 species